rnacentral:lncRNA from 1 species
GUCCCUGAGCCUCCCUUAGCCAUGCCCAACGUCCGUACAAACCUCGCCUAUACGAGAAAUAACUGAAUUAACGUUAUUUAACGCAUAACCCAACUCUUAGCUAAUAACUCCUCAAAUAUUGCUCAGUUUGGGUAUAUGAAUAUACCACCGUGACCUACACGACGUCACGAACCUGUACAUAUUUUUAGAAAUAAUUUUGGACCAUGCACGCGCCCCCACGCGCCGGCGAGGACACGGGUCUACGCGCGGCCCACGCGCAGUAACCCUAACGGAAAUCUUAACGGCGUUCGGAAUAUUCUGUUAACUUCUAACGGUAACCGUUAAAACUGACUAACGGCGUCAGAAUAUUCCGUCAAACUUGACGGAAUAUUCCGUCACCUUCAACCUUCAGCUUCGGCGACCGUCGUCGGCGCCGGAAAUUGGGUAAACCUGCAACUUGAGUUUUCUCAGCCAUUUCUUCACCAUUUUCACUCAAAUUUCUUCCUACAUGCUCUAAAUUAAGAGAGGAAGAAGUCCUUACCUUCAAAAACUUGUAAAAACGCCUGAAAUUCGAAAGGGUAAAUUCUCAAAAACCGGCCUUCAUGGAACUCGUGAUCCCGACGUCAAAACUUACCCAACGAAGUACUCCGAGCUUCGUGGGAACCUCCUAGAGCUCCCUGUGAGCUUAGAUUUCCCUAAAACACAACAUAUUCAAAGAUCAUGAACAUUGCUCUUCACGGGAACUUUUAAAACUACGUUUUCCGAAGUAGAACUUACCUGAAAUGGGUACCAUUGUGUUCGUGUGGUCUUCAGGAGCACGAUGGUGGUUUCAAAUUGAACGAUGGUAGAAGUUUUAGAUGGUUUUGGAGCUUGCCCGUGUGAGUUCGAAGGAGAGAGAGACAGAACUGAGAGAAAUCGUGAGGGAGGAGAGAGAGAGGGACAAGGUACGGGAAUUGGGGAAGGUUUUGAGGGAUGUGGGGAUCCCACGUGUCCAACCCAAU